rnacentral:lncRNA from 1 species
AUGGGGCUCCUUCACCUCAUCCCCCUGCUCGAACUUCCCCCUCCUCCCGACAUCGCGGUGACGCCGGAGAAGCCGGAGUACCUGAUCGGCGACACCGUCUCCAUCCGCUGCGCGGCCCCCAGGUCUACCAGUAGGGUCCAGGGCUUCCAGUUCUCCAGGACGGGGCGUUGGGUGGACGUCAGGAGCCCUUGGAGGACCUACACCUACACCUUCAACGUCACCGGCCCCAAAGACGGCGGGGCGCACACCUGCACCUACACCGUCACCGACCGCUACCGCCGGCCCGCGCGCUCGCGGGAGAGCCGAGCCGUUGACAUCAACGUUAGAGACCCUCCUCCAGCCCCGACGCUGGUCCUCAACGCCACGUCGGGGGUGGUGAGCGAAGGCUUCCCCCUCCUCUUCCUCUGCACGGCCCCGGCGAGCGCGGUGGGGCCGCGGUUCCGCUUCUUCCAGGACGGGUCCGAGGCCACCGCGGGGGUCGAGGUGGCCACGGGGGGCCACCGAGCUCGGAUCUCGGUGGCCACCAGCGGCCAAAACCACAGCGGGAACUUCAGCUGCGGCUACGAGGAGCGCGUCGAGGGCCGCUGGAUCCUCUCCUUCCUCAGCGAGGCCGUGGAGGUCUUGGUCAAAGGUGGGGCGGUGUUUUGGGGUCAAACGCGGGGGUUUCGGGGCGCCGGGAGGAGCGCGAGUCUGACGUUGUGGGGCAAUCUUCCUCCAACCGCCCGGAUACUCAACCGAUGGAACUUUUUGCCCAAAAAUGGUGUUUUUAAGAGGUUUUUCCAUCCUCAGUUCCAUGUUGAGGUCCAUUGAGAUGUUUCUCUUAAGCUCAAAUUGGCAUUUUUCUCCUCAAAUUCAAGGGCGGGCUGUUCCAAACCCAACUUUUCCAUCUUCAAUUCCAUUUUGGGGUCCAUCAAGACGUUUCUCCU